AAUGGUUAGGUAAUACACCUUAUCGCUGAGAAUAACCAGGCGAAAGCUUGGCUAAUACUGAAUGAUCCGACGAGAACUGAGGUUCUUUUCGGUAAAGCCGUAAGGCGCGAUAAGAGUAGCCUAACUCCCAUUAGCUAGUUGGUAGGGUAAAAGCCUACCAAGGCUUCGAUGGGUAGCUGGUCUGAGAGGAUGAUCAGCCACACUGGAACUGGAACACGGUCCAGACUCCUACGGGAGGCAGCAGUUAGGAAUCUUGCGCAAUGGGGGAAACCCUGACGCAGCAACGCCGCGUGAGUGAUGAAGGCCUUCGGGUUGUAAAGCUCUUUUAGUUGGGAAGAAAAAAAUGACGGUACCAACAGAAACAGCACCGGCUAACCCUGUGCCAGCAGCCGCGGUAAUACAGGGGGUGCAAGCGUUAUUCGGAAUUAUUGGGCGUAAAGAGCGUGUAGGCUGCUUGAUAAGUCUAGUGUGAAAGCCCCGGGCUCAAUCCGGGAAGUGCAUUGGAUACUGUCGAGCUAGAGUGCAGGAGAGGUGAGCGGAAUUCCAGGUGUAGAGGUGAAAUUCGUAGAUAUCUGGAGG
rnacentral:rRNA from 1 species